GAGUCCUUGACAACCGCCCAGCCGCUGUCCCUUUUGAGCUAGAAGUGAGAGGAAAAAGAAGGAAAAGAGAGAGUGACAGGGAAGGCCACCAUCUGUCCUCUGGGUUCUAGACAAUGGGGCCAUGAUAAGGAAGGCGACUGAAAUUUAGUUUGCAUAAUUGUAAAGAAACCAUGUUAACAAAAGAAGGAAGGCAGCUUAUUCCACUGCUAAAAGAAUCAAUUCUUCUAUCCAAAUGAGAAUGCCAGGGAAUAAGAGAAUUGUCAUCAUUUAGAAAUUUUCCCAGUGAAUGAAUGGGAGGAGUGUUCCAUGACUUUUGCUUCUGACAUUGGAAGUAUUGAAAGUGGCCUCCUGGUGGUCAGGGGAUCAAAAAUUCUCUGGAAUCAUGGGGAAAUAAUUCAAAUAGUUGCCCCUAAAAGAAGAUCUUUCCAUACCUAUGGUGGAAGAUGCACAUUUUUGGUGCUAAGAAAAGCCAAAUAACCUGCCGGAGACACAAUCACUCACAAGAGCAUACUUCAAACAGAUCUGGAGGUCAGAAGCCUAAAUCAAAGUGUUGGCAAGACUGUGCUCCUUCUGGAGACUUCACGGGGAGAGUCUGUUUCCUUAUCUUUUCCAGCCUCUGGCUGCCACCUGCAUUCCCUGGCUCAUGGCCUUUUCUUCCAUCUUCAGAGUGUAUCACUCCAACCUCUGCCCCUUUUGUCCCACCUCCUCCUCCUGCCUUCCACCUUCUUGCUUCCCUCUUAUGAAAGAAGCCUGGUGAUUACACUGGA